GACAGUGACCGCGAGCUGUUCUCCCUUGGUAGUUGCCCAACCGAGGAGAGGCUGGUGCGCGUGCUCCGUCUGCGCCAACAGGACGUUCGCUGGCACACCACCCGACUCACCCUGGCACGCGAGAUUUGCGGCCUCAGGGAUAACGCCCAGAACCGGACAUCGACAUUCUUCCUGGGUGCCAGAACCAGCCUGGUCCAUGACACGC